UCAAUCUCGUGCGGCUAUAUAUACCGCCGGUCCCUCUAAGAAGAUUUUCAUUGUACGCCGAUAGUUGAAGACCGACAGACACGCACGCGCCGAAAGNNNCGCCGAAAGCCCCGAAGGACAACCGACGGUGCGGCAGCGGACCCUCGUGAUAUCGGUGGUACGUCUAUUUAAUAGGCUAGAGUUACGUUCGUUAC
rnacentral:rRNA from 1 species